rnacentral:rRNA from 1 species
CCUACGGGGGGCUGCAGUCGAGGAUCUUCGGCAAUGGGCGCAAGCCUGACCGAGCGACGCCGCGUGUGCGAUGAAGGCCUUCGGGUUGUAAAGCACUGUCGAGGGGGAGAAAGGGGCAACCUUGAUCGACCCCUGGAGGAAGCACGGGCUAAGUUCGUGCCAGCAGCCGCGGUAAGACGAACCGUGCGAACGUUGUUCGGAAUCACUGGGCUUAAAGGGCGCGUAGGCGGGCCGCACAGUCAGGGGUGAAAUCCUCCAGCUCAACUGGAGAAGUGCCUCUGAUACUGGCGGCCUCGAGGGGUGCAGGGGCGUGCGGAACUUCGGGUGGAGCGGUGAAAUGCGUAGAUAUCCGAAGGAACACCGGUGGCGAAGGCGGCACGCUGGACACCUUCUGACGCUGAGGCGCGAAAGCCAGGGGAGCAAACGGGAUUAGAUACCCU